GACGAACGCUGGCGGCGUGCCUAAUACAUGCAAGUAGAACGCAGUUGCGAACGGGUGAGUAACGCGUAGGUAACUGCCUGGUAGCGGGGGAUAACUAUUGGAAACGAUAGCUAAUACCGCAUACUACCAGAUGGACCUGCGUUGUAUUAGCUAGUUGGUGGGGUAACGGCUCACCAAGGCAACGAUACAUAGCCGACCUGGGAGGGUGAUCGGCCACACGGGGACUUGGACACGGGCCAGGCUCCUAAUGGAGGGAGCAGUAGGGAAUCUUCGGCAAUGGGGGGAACGCUGACCGAGCAACGGCGCGUGAGUGAAGAAGGGUUUCGGAUCGUAAAGCUCUGUUGUUAAGGAAGCGGUACUUAACCAGAAAGGGACGGCUAACUACGUGCCAGCCGCCGCGGUAAUAC
rnacentral:rRNA from 1 species